rnacentral:rRNA from 1 species
GCUUAGAGAGGGGCCAAUGUCCUAUCAGCUAGUUGGUAGGGUAAUGGCCUACCAAGGCUAAGACGGGUAGCCGGCCUGAGAGGGUGGUCGGCCACACUGGGACUGAGACACUGCCCAGACUCCUACGGGAGGCUGCAGUCGAGAAUCUUUCGCAAUGCCCGAAAGGGUGACGAAGCGACGCCGCGUGUGGGAAGAAGGCCUUCGGGUUGUAAACCACUGUCGGGAGUUAAGAAAUGUAAGGGUGUUAAUAGUAUCCUUACUUGACUAAGGCUCCGGAGGAAGCCACGGCUAACUCUGUGCCAGCAGCCGCGGUAAUACAGAGGCGGCAAGCGUUGUUCGGAAUUAUUGGGCGUAAAGAGCACGUAGGCGGCUUUGUAAGUCAGUUGUGAAAGCCUUCUGCUCAACGGAAGAACAGCAUCUGAUACUGCAAGGCUAGAGUGCGGAAGGG